GUGCUCACUUUGGCAGCACAUAUAUUAAAACUGGAACAAUACAGAGAAGAUUAGUGUUGCCCAUGUGCAAGGAUGACAUGUAAAUUUGUGAAGCAUUCCAUAUUUUG